GUGCUCUUAGCCACUGAGCUGUCUCUCCAGCUCCCCUGAAAGUUCUUUCAACAAAUAGCAUCACUUCCAUUCCCCCCACCCCCACUUGCAUGAGCAUCUCAGAAUACGAAGUUUGGCUCUGGAAGGGGUUCCCUUUGAAGCCUGGAAUAUCAAAGCUAUCACAAGACAGUGUCGACCAUUUUGAAAGAAAUAUGAAGAAACGACAUCAUCCCCGGGGGCGGUAGGCUGAGAUCUUCCCAAACGGGUCAGCGGUUGGUCUGUAAAAUAUCCCCAUUGCCAAGGAGGUGGUGACAUCUCGUGUAAAUCAAAAACUGAAGCCCUGAGAUAUCUCAUUUCCAUUUUAAAUACACGGGGGUUAAAUAUGGAUAUGAGCAGGCAGAGGCUCCUGUGGGAUUGAUUUUUCCCGUCUUCUCUGAGCCCUUUGCUGAGCAUGAUAAGGACCAGGGUUCAUUAUCAAGCCUGCUAGCACUGCACUUCAGGAGACGAGAUGAGGCUUCGCAGUGGGAGAACAGAUCCACAAAGAAGAAAUGGUUCGUGUGGUGCAAUGAUAAAACCCCAUGUUGGGCUCAACUCAUUUUAAACAGGAUCGUGAGACCAAAGGAAAUCCCAAGAAAUUAAGUUUCCUGAAUCAUUUUUCAAACUGGGAAAAAAACCAACCAACCAAACAAACAAAAAAACCUUGGUGACAUCAUACAAGAAAUCGAAUCUAGGUUUCAAGGUUUGGUUAGCAAUGCCUGCAUUGUUUUUAAACAAACAUUUGUUUUUCUAAUAAUAAUGCUUGCAAUUUCAUAACACUUGUAUGUGUGUAUAUAUAUCGUGUGUAUGUGUAUGUAAAGAUUCCAACAGGCAAUCUAGAAAGGAAGCUAAGGUCAUCAUUAGAACCUUCAAGAGAUUCGGCCAAGGUUAUAGAAAUAACAUCAGAACAAAGAGCCUGGCUCCUGUCAGUUGACCCUGAGCUUGCUUGUGCUGCCCUGCCCACUGCUCCAAUUUCACUGCAACACAGAAAGCAGUUCCAGGUGUAUGAUUGCUGGCAGAUGGUCUCCGCUGGAUCAAACACAGAAGAAAUGCCCCCACUGUUUCUCCAAAUGCGUAGGUACGUCAUCAAGUUUCUGAACAUGGUUCAUAUCUGUUUCAUCCCCGGGUCUCACAUCUGGAGCUAAUCCUGCAGUGACCACCACCAUAAGGAAGAGUCUUGGCCGUCUUUUGUCCAAAGCAUACUGCUGGGGCUCAGUGAGAACCUGGACUCGGAAUGUGAAGCUGUCCGUCUUGAGGAGAGGAGGAGGUUUCACAAACAGCCACAAAAGGCACAGCUCGGGACAUCAAACACCACAACAGAACUUCAUUUCCCAGGAAUCAUAGAAACUGCCAUCCAUAUUUCUUUUGUCCUAUGUGAAGAAUGUAAUCCCUCCUUGGUACAUUUUCAAGUACAAUAAUGCAGCUGUGGAUACAGAAAUCUUAUUCCAGCAUUGUUUGUAAGUCUGAGAAGGGAGCCUAGAGCUAUAAUAUUGAUGCUGUAUAUUUAUGAGUAUGGCAGGGACACAGAGAACCUAGAGUGAUAAUACUGAUGGUGGCACACUGAUGAGCAGGUCAGGGACACUGAAGAGUCAACACAACCAUCACGUUCUGUGAUCAGUCAUCCUGGACAACAGGAAGGUGGCAAAUGCUACAUCCCACCAGCAGUGACAGAGUCAGACACGCCAAUUCAAACAAUUCCGCAACCAUGGCAUAUACCACUGAGUCUGAGGCAGCCAUGAAAGCCUAGGACCCAAGGCCCUAGGGUUUACCAAGGCUCAGGCAGGGCCAUUUUUAAUUCCCUUCACCCUUUUUGUUCCUCAGCAGUGCAAUGUAAAGAAAGAAUCAAGAGAACGUAAGCCAUGAAACAAACCACAGAGUAGAAAUAUGAGUGAAUGUGUGUGUGUGUGUGUGUGUGUGUGUGUGUGUGUGUGU